UUCUUUUGUAUAUUACUAAUUCAUUUAAUAGUUAGUUUAAUAAAAAACAUAGUAUAUGUUUAUAUGAACCAACUUGUUUUUUAAGAAUUCUAAGAAUCAUCUUCGUGAUGACACGUGGCUACGAAAACAUGUUGUAAUACUUCAGGAUUAAUAUAUAGGGGAUUGUGUUUUGGGAUAAUGGUAUGGUAGCUUUGUGCCUUAGCCAACUCCUUCAGAUCCGAAUCAGUUUUUCGAAAUUCUGAUUUAGAAAAUAACACUCUUUACCGAACAAAAAUUGAACUCAGAACAUAAAAAUACCAAACCAGUGACAAUUGUUGAGAACAGAUUUAU
rnacentral:lncRNA from 1 species